ensembl:snRNA U6 U6 spliceosomal RNA
GUGUUCAGUUUGGCAGCAUCUAUACUAAAAUUGGAAUGAUACAGAGAAGAUUAGCAUGGGCCCUGUGCAAGGAAAAUUUUUUUUAAUUAAACAUUGAAAUGUUUG